UUUCCAUUUUUCCAAACAUAUCUGUUUCUAUUGGACUACAAUUGAAUUCUCACCUGUCUUCUGCUAAGUUCUUCCGUUUCUCAGCCGGUGUUUUGCUAUUUCGGAUUUGCCGGCUAAUUUCUAGCUUGUAUCAUUCUUCUCAAUUCUUGAAGGGAUUUUUGCCCAUUGCUUUUCAAUUUGUUUAAAAGCUUGUUUAUUUUUCCUUCAAUCUUGGUUUUUCUAUUCUUCCACAUAAUCUACUGCUUGCCUUUUUUAUGUUAAUGUCAAUAAUCCUAUCUUCACACAUGCAUAGUUGAAAGUAGAUGAUUGUUACAUGCAACUGUAUACUAUUUUGGAUUACUGAUUAUAGAUGUCUUUUCUACUUUUGGACCUAAUUAAUCACUGCAAAUCUCAUUAUUUCUGUAAAAUUCUAUUAUAUUAAUCUUCCGGUUUUAAGAUUGUCUCUUUAGUGCUUAAUUUGUGUUUAUAUAUUCAUAGUGAGUUAACAUACUUUCAUCGUGUUCGUUAUAUUUUAUACUCCGAGACAUUUUUCAUUUUCAUUUUUUCAUUAUUUUUCUCAUUCCUUACUAGGAUGAAGUUUUAAGCUAGGAAGACGAAUGAACCAAAGGUGUUCGAUGAUAUCCCUGAAUGACUUAACUAUUUGGCAAGAAUUUCUAUUGUUUCUUUUUUUUCACUAGCGAGUAAAUUAGGACUGCAUUCAAUGAUGUAAGGUUAUGCAUCCCUUGGAUUUUAUUUAGUAUUGUAUUUCACAGGCUCCUGAAGUCAAAUUUGCUCGAGGUGAAGAAAGUGGGAGAAUACAUAUAGUACUAACAAUUCUUUACUUUGUCUUUCUUCUCAGUAUUGGUUGCCUAUCUAAUGUGACCUUGUGGCGAUCUCCAGAGAUAUGGAAGGGAAAAGGGAAUGUUUACCUGAGUUUCAAAAGUUGCUCAUCGGAUUUUACUUUUGGAAAUUGGUUGCAUGAAGACAUUUGAUUCAGUCCCUGCUCUGAGGAAAGCAGUUAUAUUAGGCUACAACCCUAUUACACCUUGGAUGUCUGUAGUUUACAGUUUUAUUACAUGGAAGAAAUAGCAGAAAGUAUGAUUUGAGAAGUAAAUACAAGAAUUUGCAUGCCAAGCUCUUCAAAAGCAAAGUCGAUAACUGGUAGUUAAGACAUGAGACAUUGGAGCUGAUUUUCGACGGAUGAAUCAAGGUUUUACUUUCUAAAAUGUGCAAAUGCUGCUCCAAACAAGCUAUUUGUUGGUGUUGGUGACCCAAAUGCUGAUCACAAGUGUUGGGAAAGGCAUGAAGAUAUGGACACUGUCCGUAGCGUCUAUUAUGUGUCUCCCAGCAAUCCUGGUUCUGAUGCUGCUGGAGAAAUGCCUCAUUAGUUUUCCGGUUUGUUGAUCCAGUUUAUUCGAAAAAGCUACUGGGAAAUGCAGUUAAAGUGUUUAGGUCUGUAGUUCAAUACAAAGGGUGAUCUUAUAGUGAUUCACUAGGCUCUGCAGCCUUAGUAGCCAUAACAACUAAAAGUGGACGGAGGUAGUAUGUUAUUAAAUCUAUAUUGCAGUAGUCUCAAAUAACUUGGCUCCUAAAGAUUUAGUAGCCAUUGAAUUGAACUUGGGUGAAGGUUUUUAGAAGACUAAUUACUCAGAUAAGUUGGUAAUAAAUUGAAAUGAUGUUCCAAAUCUUUAGCAAACUUUGAUAUUUAGUUUUAAGCGAUAUUUGUGCACUUUCUUUUAGUAGUCAUUCAUUCGCAUGUGUUUUGCUCUUGCAGGGAGCCAAUCUAGAUGAUUCCUUUGAGGAUUCACAAAUUGGAAGAUCACUAUUGAGAAAUUAUUGGUUUUUGUUGUCGUCGUUGAUUUUCUCCAACUGUCCAAAGAAGCCAGGGGAAUAUACUUCUUAGUACGAUAAAGUGAAAGGAGACAAGACUCAGCCAACUAUUGUUUCAGCAAAUGAUCGAGCCAUACAAGAAAUAGAAGCUCUGGAUGAUAUUCUUCCUUUUUAUAUUUCAGAUAUUUGGAGAAUCAAAGAAGAACAACAAAACGUCCAUAAAAGGCCUAUAUCCAAGAGUUUUCUGACAAGGCAAAUCAGAGUGAACAUUUCUUGGUUUAAUACUCAUAGGAUCAUCCAUUACUUGUGGAAUUUUUGUUAACAACAUGAGUUUCUUCUGUUUGUUUUUUACUCUUUAGAAUUGUUAAGUAUUUGUUGGAGAUCUAUGAUAGCGUUUCAUGGUUUAUUGAUAUUUUCUCUUCUA